GACGAACGCUGGCGGCGUGCUUAACACAUGCAAGUCGAGCGAGCAGAUUCCCUUCGGGGAUGAAGCUGGCGGCGGACGGGUGAGUAACACGUGGGCAACCUGCCUUAUAGAGGGGGAUAGCCUUCCGAAAGGAAGAUUAAUACCGCAUAACAUCAGAUUAUCGCAUGGUAGACUGAUCAAAGGAGCAAUCCGCUAUAAGAUGGGCCCGCGUCGCAUUAGCUAGUUGGUGAGGUAACGGCUCACCAAGGCGACGAUGCGUAGCCGACCUGAGAGGGGGAUCGGCCACAUUGGGACUGAGACACGGCCCAGACUCCUACGGGAGGCAGCAGUGGGGAAUAUUGCACAAUGGGGGAAACCCUGAUGCAGCAACGCCGCGUGAGUGAUGAAGGCCUUCGGGUUGUAAAGCUCUUUGAUCAGGGACGAUAAUGACGGUACCUGAAGAACAAGCCACGGCUAACUACGUGCCAGCCGCCGCCGUAAAAC
rnacentral:rRNA from 1 species